rnacentral:rRNA from 1 species
UACGAAGGGGGCUAGCGUUGCUCGGAAUCACUGGGCGUAAAGCGCACGUAGGCGGCUUUUUAAGUCAGGGGUGAAAUCCUGGAGCUCAACUCCAGAACUGCCUUUGAUACUGGGAAGCUCGAGUCCGGAAGAGGUGAGUGGAACUCCGAGUGUAGAGGUGAAAUUCGUAGAUAUUCGGAAGAACACCAGUGGCGAAGGCGGCUCACUGGUCCGGUACUGACGCUGAGGUGCGAAAGCGUGGGGAGCAAGCAGG